rnacentral:rRNA from 1 species
AGAGUUUGAUCAUGGCUCAGAUUGAACGCUGGCGGCAGGCCUAACACAUGCAAGUCGAACGGUAACAGGAAGCAGCUUGCUGCUUCGCUGACGAGUGGCGGACGGGUGAGUAAUGUCUGGGAAACUGCCUGAUGGAGGGGGAUAACUACUGGAAACGGUGGCUAAUACCGCAUAACGUCGCAAGACCAAAGAGGGGGACCUUCGGGCCUCUUGCCAUCAGAUGUGCCCAGAUGGGAUUAGCUAGUUGGUGAGGUAACGGCUCACCAAGGCGACGAUCCCUAGCUGGUCUGAGAGGAUGACCAGCCACACUGGAACUGAGACACGGUCCAGACUCCUACGGGAGGCAAGCAGUGGGGAAUAUUGCACAAUGGGCGCAAGCCUGAUGCAGCCAUGCCGCGUGUAUGAAGAAGGCCUUCGGGUUGUAAAGUACUUUCAGCGGGGAGGAAGGUGUUGUGGUUAAUAACCGCAGCAAUUGACGUUACCCGCAGAAGAAGCACCGGCUAACUCCGUGCCAGCAGCCGCGGUAAUACGGAGGGUGCAAGCGUUAAUCGGAAUUACUGGGCGUAAAGCGCACGCAGGCGGUCUGUCAAGUCGGAUGUGAAAUCCCCGGGCUCAACCUGGGAACUGCAUUCGAAACUGGCAGGCUUGAGUCUUGUAGAGGGGGGUAGAAUUCCAGGUGUAGCGGUGAAAUGCGUAGAGAUCUGGAGGAAUACCGGUGGCGAAGGCGGCCCCCUGGACAAAGACUGACGCUCAGGUGCGAAAGCGUGGGGAGCAAACAGGAUUAGAUACCCUGGUAGUCCACGCCGUAAACGAUGUCUACUUGGAGGUUGUGCCCUUGAGGCGUGGCUUCCGGAGCUAACGCGUUAAGUAGACCGCCUGGGGAGUACGGCCGCAAGGUUAAAACUCAAAUGAAUUGACGGGGGCCCGCACAAGCGGUGGAGCAUGUGGUUUAAUUCGAUGCAACGCGAAGAACCUUACCUGGUCUUGACAUCCACGGAAGUUUUCAGAGAUGAGAAUGUGCCUUCGGGAACCGUGAGACAGGUGCUGCAUGGCUGUCGUCAGCUCGUGUUGUGAAAUGUUGGGUUAAGUCCCGCAACGAGCGCAACCCUUAUCCUUUGUUGCCAGCGGUCCGGCCGGGAACUCAAAGGAGACUGCCAGUGAUAAACUGGAGGAAGGUGGGGAUGACGUCAAGUCAUCAUGGCCCUUACGACCAGGGCUACACACGUGCUACAAUGGCGCAUACAAAGAGAAGCGACCUCGCGAGAGCAAGCGGACCUCAUAAAGUGCGUCGUAGUCCGGAUUGGAGUCUGCAACUCGACUCCAUGAAGUCGGAAUCGCUAGUAAUCGUGGAUCAGAAUGCCACGGUGAAUACGUUCCCGGGCCUUGUACACACCGCCCCGUCACACCAUGGGAGUGGGUUGCAAAAGAAGUAGGUAGCUUAACCUUCGGGAGGGCGCUUACCACUUUGUGAUUCAUGACUGGGGUGAAGUCGUAACAGGGUAACCGUAGGGGAACCUGCGGUUGGAUCACCU